rnacentral:rRNA from 1 species
UACAGAGGGUGCGAGCGUUGUUCGGAAUUAUUGGGCGUAAAGGGCGCGUAGGCGGUGCGGUAAGUCACCUGUGAAACCUCCGGGCUCAACUCGGAGCCUGCAGGCGAAACUGCCGUGCUGGAGUGUGGGAGAGGUGCGUGGAAUUCCCGGUGUAGCAGUGAAAUGCGUAGAUAUCGGGAGGAGCACCUGUGGCGAAAGCGGCGCACUGGACCACAACUGACGCUGAGGCGCGAAAGCUAGGGGAGCAAACAGG